rnacentral:rRNA from 1 species
UACGGAGGAUCCAAGCGUUAUCCGGAUUUAUUGGGCUUAAAGGGUGCGUAGGCGGCUUUUUAAGUCAGGGGUGAAAGACGGUAGCUUAACUAUCGCAGUGCCCUUGAUACUGAAGAGCUUGAAUAUACUUGAGGUAGGCGGAAUGUGACAAGUAGCGGUGAAAUGCAUAGAUAUGUCACAGAACACCAAUUGCGAAGGCAGCUUACUAAGGUAUGAUUGACGCUGAGGCACGAAAGCGUGGGGAUCAAACAGG